AAUAACACUUUUGGGAUUAAAAAAUAUCAUACACUCAUUUGAACCAGAGUAAACCAUUCUAACAACAACAAAAAAUCAUUCCUUUUGGGCUUAAAAGAACAUAUUAGAUAUUUUCUCAAUUCAAAGCUCUUAUUUCAAAAGCCCCAAUUCAAUUCAGAAAUCCUAAUUCGACAAGCCAUAAAUUCAAUUUAUCAUAACAAACCAAAAUUCUACAAGAGAGACGCAUCAAAGAAAAAUGAGAGAAUGAGGAAGAAGAUGACUAGAAAAAAAAAAAUAAUAAUAAAGGAAUGAGAGAAAUGUGACAGGGAGAAAGAGAAAAAAGAGAAAAUGUUUAUUGUUUAAAGAAAAGUUUUAGUCCACAAGAAAAGCAUGAUAUGAAAAGUUUCAAUGAGACAAAUGAAGCGUACUCUGUAGUACAAUGAAGACAGAGAUAAGGUGUAUUUAUUUAUUUUGGCUAGGUUUUUUUAGGCAACAGCCCACUCUGUUCUGUGGGUAGAACUGCCCUUAAU
rnacentral:lncRNA from 1 species